rnacentral:misc_RNA from 1 species
AACGCACAUUGCGCCCUCUGGUAUUCCGGGGGGCAUGCCUGUUCGAGCGUCAUCAACCCCUUCAGCGUCAGCUGGUGUUGGGAGCGGCGGUGCCCUCCUCAAACGUAGUGGUGUACGCACGUCCCUCACGCGGAGUCACUUCUCGCGACGGUGGGCGUGUGGUCCUCCGAAGACCUCUUUUGACCUCGGAUCAGGUAGGGAUACCCGCUGAACUUAA